rnacentral:rRNA from 1 species
UACGGGGGGGGCAAGCGUUGUUCGGAAUUACUGGGCGUAAAGGGCUCGUAGGUGGCCAACUAAGUCAGACGUGAAAUCCCUCGGCUUAACCGGGGAACGGCCUCUGAUACUGGCUGGCUGGAGUUCGGGAGAGGGAUGCGGAAUUCCAGGUGUAGCGGUGAAAUGCGUAGAUAUCUGGAGGAACACCGGUGGCGAAGGCGGCAUCCUGGACCGACACUGACGCUGAGGAGCGAAAGCCAGGGGAGCAAACGGG